rnacentral:rRNA from 1 species
UACGUAGGGUGCGAGCGUUAAUCGGAAUUACUGGGCGUAAAGCGUGCGCAGGCGGUUUUAUAAGUCAGAUGUGAAAUCCCCGGGCUUAACCUGGGAACUGCGUUUGAAACUGGAAGGCUAGAGUGUGGCAGAGGGGGGUGGAAUUCCACGUGUAGCAGUGAAAUGCGUAGAUAUGUGGAGGAACACCGAUGGCGAAGGCAGCCCCCUGGGCUAACACUGACGCUCAUGCACGAAAGCGUGGGGAGCAAACAGG